UACGAAGGGGGCUAGCGUUGCUCGGAAUCACUGGGCGUAAAGCGCACGUAGGCGGAUCUUUAAGUCAGGGGUGAAAUCCCGGAGCUCAACUCCGGAACUGCCUUUGAUACUGGGGAUCUUGGAGUCCGGGAGAGGUGAGUGGAACUGCGAGUGUAGAGGUGAAAUUCGUAGAUAUUCGCAAGAACACCAGUGGCGAAGGCGGCUCACUGGCCCGGUACUGACGCUGAGGUGCGAAAGCGUGGGGAGCAAACAGG
rnacentral:rRNA from 1 species